ACCAGACUCCUACGGGAGGCAGCAGUGGGGAAUAUUGGGCAAUGGGCGCAAGCCUGACCCGGCAACGCCGCGUGAAGGAAGAAGGCUUUCGGGUUGUAAACUUCUUUUAAGAGGGAAGAGAAGAAGACGGUACCUCUUGAAUAAGCCACGGCUAACUACGUGCCAGCAGCCGCGGUAAUACGUAGGUGGCAAGCGUUGUCCGGAUUUACUGGGUGUAAAGGGCGUGCAGCCGGGCUGACAAGUCAGAUGUGAAAUCCCGCGGCUCAACCGCGGAACUGCAUUUGAAACUGUCAGUCUUGAGUACCGGAGAGGUCAUCGGAAUUCCUUGUGUAGCGGUGAAAUGCGUAGAUAUAAGGAGGAACACCAGUGGCGAAGGCGGCCUGCUGGACCGCGACUGACGUUGAGGCUCGAAAGCGUGGGGAGCGAACAGGAUUAGAUACCCCCGUA
rnacentral:rRNA from 1 species